AUGUGCAAAAACAAAAUAUCACCCUGCAAAAGAAGUGAAUAGUUACUCAAGGAGCAUGAUUAAUUAGUACAACUAAAGAAUUAGAAUGUGAAGAUGGCACUAUAUGACAGAAUCAUCAUCAUCAAGCACAAGAAGUUAACAACAGCAACAAAAUUUACAAUAACACACAUCAGUGAAGUGUUACUAUUGCAGUCUCAAGCAAUAUUCAAAUGAUUCCCAAACCAACUAGAAACUCAUUUUCCAAUGGAAAGGAAUGCCUGCAUCUUUAAAAAUCAGAUUGUAUUUGUUUUCUUUAUCUGUUGUAGAUAAGGAGGCUUCUUAUCUCUUUUUUUGGCAAAUGCCUUGCCUUUCAAGUAUUAUGUCACUUGAUUGGAAGGCAUUACUUUCUUAGUUGAUCUCUAUAUCCAUUAGUCUUUUAGGUCCAGAGGAUUUCUCAUUCUCAAUGUUGUGAUCUCCUUUCCUUUACUUCCA
rnacentral:misc_RNA from 1 species